GGGUCUCUUUGUGCACCCGCCCACACGGUUUGCCGUGUUUUCACCCUUCUUUGUUCUCCACCGGUCUGGGCAGGGUCUGAGGACUCCGGAGAGCAAGGCAUGGGUCCGCCUCGUGCCGCAGGUUCCUGGCCCACGCCAGCCGUACCCAGUAGCACAAUGGGUGAGCUCUGAGGACUUCACAGGGGCCCCAUCCCCUCACCUAGAUGAGGGCUAACCUUGGAAUCCAGACAAAGGUGGAAGUGACCUAGAUGUGACCUGAAUGAGCUAAUCAUCUAAUGAGAGCCAGCCCUUUGUCCUGCCCACAUGAAGGGCUUUGCUGCUACGCACUGACAAGUUGGACGGCUUUUUAUUGCUUUGUUGCCAGUUAUCUGAACAUGAGAGGCUGUAAGGUGUAAUCUGCGAGCCCUGCGCCCAGACUGAACCAGGGCCUCCCUUGAACAUGAGUAUUAGACAAAUGAAAUAAGAACUUAUCUUGCCCAGACUAUAUAAUGGCUUGGAAAUGCAUAGUUUCCUGAACGAUCUCAAUAAAAUACUUUUAAAAGUACUUAAAUAGA
rnacentral:lncRNA from 1 species